rnacentral:rRNA from 1 species
UGGGGAAUAUUGGACAAUGGGCGAAAGCCUGAUCCAGCAACGCCGCGUGAGGGAUGACUGCCUUCGGGUUGUAAACCUCUUUCAGUAGGGACGAAGCGCAAGUGACGGUACCUACAGAAGAAGCACCGGCCAACUACGUGCCAGCAGCCGCGGUAAUACGUAGGGUGCGAGCGUUGUCCGGAAUUAUUGGGCGUAAAGGGCUCGUAGGCGGUCUGUCGCGUCGGGAGUGAAAACUCAGGGCUUAACCCUGAGCCUGCUUCCGAUACGGGCAGACUAGAGGUAUGCAGGGGAGAACGGAAUUCCUGGUGUAGCGGUGGAAUGCGCAGAUAUCAGGAGGAACACCGGUGGCGAAGGCGGUUCUCUGGGCAUUACCUGACGCUGAGGAGCGAAAGUGUGGGGAGCGAACA